UCCCUUUCCAACAAUGAUCAUCCCCGUGCGCUGCUUCACGUGCGGCAAUGUCAUUGCCGACAAGUAUCUUCUCUACCUUGACCUUGUCAGCCAAGGCGUCUCCGAGGAGGACGCGAUGAACGUCUUCCACCUAGAGCGUUUCUGCUGCCGCCGCAUGAUGCUCACCCACGUGGACAUGACGGACCUGCUCCUCAAAUUCAAUCCGGCCGACACGAACGUGCUGGGAACUGCCUCCGUAGCGGCGGCGGCCGGGGAGGACGACGGCGCUGUGGGCAUGCCGUAGCAGAGACGACUCUCAGCCGCUCAUCGCGUCCGUGCAGGAAUGAUCUGAAUUCGUCCGUGGGCGGCCUGCGCGCUCACCAUGAUCUCAAGAGUCGGCAAGUGUUCGUCAGUGUAGUGAUCCUCUGUGCCUCUCCCUCUCUCGUGUUGUUGUGCCUACGUGUGUGUGUGUGUGUGUGUGCCGGUGUGUGUCGCUGCCGUGCGAAAUCACGAAGUGAAAAUGAAUGGCGCCAUCAAGCGAUCGCAAGUACCGAAGACCAACGCUAAAAGAGGGGAGGGGUAGGGGGGCUGUGGUGCUCUUUGACUCCAGCGGCAUGCAUAUACACCUAUGCAUGUGUAUGUGUAUGUGUGUGUGUGUGUGUGUGCGUGUCACACAGAGAAGGAGACGGCCUCUGAUGACCAUUCGACGGUGGCCAGCUCGAUGGACGCGCGAAAAAAAAAGGGAGCUCGAGGGUCGGUGUGGGCAGAGGAGGAGGGGUGAUUGAGCACAAGCACACAGGCACAGAAACAGACAGGGCAAGGCGUGGGCAGUGACGGAGAAGUGAGCGGAGUCGAUGCUUCUCCGACUAGCCAAAACCAUCCCCCUCCCACACACACACGCACACCUCUGUCUGCUGUCGCCCCUCUCUUGUGCCGCCCCUUUCCUUUUCUCUCUCUCUCCCUCUGCUCUGUUUCGACCCCCCUCCCCCUCCCUCGCCGCCUCCCCGAGGGCACGCCAUGAAGCAUGAACUUGCAAGCAUGCCCAUCCACACACACACACACACAGAUCCCUUCCCUCUCUGCCUGCCCCUCUCUUGCUUGCAUGCUCGGCUUAGUUGGGCACCCCUCCCCAUUUCCCGCCCGAUCAUUGCUUGAAG
rnacentral:misc_RNA from 1 species